ACAGACACAACUAAUGAUACUAAUGAUGUCUGUGGGAUAGAGAACAAUGUGAACAAUAUAUCUAUUUCUAUGUAUUUAUCUGUCUGAUGAUUCUUUGAUUCUUGUUCUUCUCAUUUUUUUCUUCUUCUUUG
rnacentral:ribozyme from 14 species